CCCUUAGAUGUUCUGGGCAGCACGCGCGCUACAAUGGUCUUCGCAAACGGAUGCAUUCCCGAAGGAGAAUGCCAAUCUUGGAAUCUAUGCCUUGGUCGGGACAGUUGCUUGCAAUUUUUCGACUCGAACCAGGAAUUCCUUGUAAUCGUGAUUCAUCACAUCACGAUGAAUACGUCCCUGCCCUUUGUACACACCGCCCGUCGCUCCUACCGAUCGAAGAGUUAGGUGGAUUGUUUUGAUCGAUAAGAUUUGACUAUGGUCAACUCUCGUUGUGAAAUUCUGUGAAUCUGACUGUUUAGAGGAAGGAAAAGUCGUAACA
rnacentral:rRNA from 1 species